rnacentral:rRNA from 1 species
UACGUAGGGGGGCUAGCGUUGUCCGGAAUCAUUGGGCGUAAAGCGCGUGUAGGCGGCCCGGUAAGUCCGCUGUGAAAGUCCAGGGCUCAACCCUGGGAUGCCGGUGGAUACUGUCGGGCUCGAGUCCGGAAGAGGCGAGUGGAAUUCCUGGUGUAGCGGUGAAAUGCGCAGAGUAUCAGGAGGAACACCAAUGGCGAAGGCAGCUCGCGGGACGUGACGACGCUGAGACGCGAAAGCG